UAAAACGUAGGGGACGAGCGUUGUCCGGAUUUAUUGGGCGUAAAGCGCGCGCAGGCGGCUCGGAAAGUCGGGUGUGAAAACCUGGGGCUCAACCCCAGGCCUGCAUUCGAUACUAACGGGCUAGAGGCAGGUAGGGGAGAUCGGAAUUCCUGGUGUAGCGGUGAAAUGCGCAGAUAUCAGGAGGAACACCGGUGGCGAAGGCGGAUCUCUGGGCCUGUCCUGACGCUGAGGUGCGAAAGCUAGGGGAGCAAACAGGAUUAGAUACCCUGGUAGUCCUAGCUGUAAACGAUGGGUGCUAGGUGUGGGGCGGCGAUUGACUCGCUCUGUGCCGGAGCUAACGCAUUAAGCACCCCGCCUGGGGAGUACGGCCGCAAGGUUA
rnacentral:rRNA from 1 species